GUCAGCAUGUGCAAGAUUCUUUUGUCGAGGAAAGCUUCCAUAAAAGAAGAAAAUACAGAUUUUCUGCAGAUGAAUACCACAUGUCUUCUAAGAAUCACAUAACAAGAAAUUAUAACAUAAUAUGAAAAUUCUUCCUAUUGAAGGGAAUGUUGUCAGAGAAUCACAAGAACAAUCUAUGUUCAGCAUGUACAAAUUUUUGGCCAUCAUUUACCAUUAACAACAUUAAUAGGAAUCUCAUUUUGUAUUUUAAAAUGCUUAUUUUUAAAAUGCUUUAUUAUAGCAGAUGCAUCAUUUUGUUUCCAUAUUAAUUUGUUGCUUGGUAUUUUGUCUAAAAAACAAAAGCAGACAAAUUACUGCAAUUACUGCACUUCUAUAUGUGAGAAAUAAUGUUGAAUAUGCACUGGUUUAAGUUUUCAGAAAUAAAAGGUGCCUUUAAAAAUAUGAAAAUUUAACAGAACUGUGAUGGUGGCCUCAAGUGAGCUAAUAAGAAAUAAACAUAAGGUGUUUAUAGCUAAUUCAAUUGACCCACUAGUAAACUCAUCAGUAUUCAUUUGUUUUGUUUUAUUUUGUUUUGUUUUUGCUUGUUUUUUUCUGUUGGACUGAUACAGCGUAAAUAUAUUUUAUUAUUUUUCUUUCAAAAUUAAUCAGAAUAUCCUGAGUGUAACACGACUGGUUAAAUAUCUCAUCCAUAGAAAAAUUGAUAUUUUGAAUGAUGUGUUUCAGGACCUUCAUCUUCCAACGAUACCAAAAGAGUUUCAAGACCAAUGUUUUCAACAAGGGAUUAAAAAUUUCCAAAGGCUAUGAAAGAAUACACAUAUCCCACAGUGCAGAACAACAGUCAUUACCAGGCUCCUCCUGUGAAGAACAAGUAGUUCACAUUUCAAUUUCUUCUAUUUGAUUAUUAAAAUGGAAAUUUUCUAUUUCUUAAUUUCCAACAAGCUAGUUAGCUAAUUAAUUUCUCUGCAGACAUGUUCCAUGAGUCCAUGUUCUCAAUUUGUUUCUUAAGACAGUGGAAAAAUGGUUGGCAGAUUAAAAAUAUCAUUUUUAGUCUCAGAAGAGUGUACAUAAAUAAACAUAUCUUCAUAGAAGGACUUAUUCAAAUGACAGCUUAGAGUAGGGCAAGAAGAUUAAAAAAGUCUGCAUUCUCUCCUAUCAACAUCAUCAGCCCUCAAACUUAUAAAAAGCAUUUACGGGAACAGCAAAUGGGAGGAGUGCCAUACAUCUAUACACACGCAUAUUUAUAUAUAGUUAAAUCAAAAUUAUUAUCCCCAAACCAAGAAAUAACCACUGUUUCACCUCAAAGGAGAAGCAAACUUUCUGUACAGGUGCAGGAUAGCACUCUUUCUUUAGAACUUGUUUGGAAGUUUAUGAUAAAGCUGCUCAGUUGAGGGGGAAAUGAGGGAAUAUUAUUAGUCCCAAGUUUAUUCAUCUGUUUUCAUUUUAAAAAAGUUUAAUAUGCCAUUUAAUGCAUAAAGCAACAUAAUUUCAUGAAAUCUUACAGAAAAGGUAAAUAUACUGAAGGAAAUGUGGUUAAUUCACAGUAGCAUAGAACUGUACUAGCUGGCAGAUUUGAGAUUUGCUGCUCUGAAAGAGCAGAACACAUAGAAGAACUAAAAUGAGUUAAACCAAAUCAUUGUGAAUAACAGUAUUUCCUAUUAAAUUACAGAAUUUUCUCACCAGAGAGAUUCGUAUGAUUUACACAGAAAGGAACAAAGAUCAGAAGGCAAAUGAGAAAGAUAUAAAUUCUGAAGAAGUCUUAACCAUAAUCCUCUCUCAUUGCCCUCAAGCAUCUGCAGUGCUUCAAUCUGGUGGCAGCUCUAAGUAAAAGAAAAUUAUAACAUUUAAAAUUGAAUUAAAUAUGGAAAUGAGUAUUGCAAUGAGAAGAGUGUCCCUGGUGAAAUUUAGCUUAGUGUGUCUCUAAGAUUUUCAGUCUGCUUUGGAUCUCAAACCAUGGUGUUGAGAUCUGACUCCUUAUGGAAGACACUACAAUAAUGGCAAGUAGGAAUGUGCCUGGCAGCAAUUCAUUGUGAGACAAGUACUUUUGUUGGAGUUUUGUUUUGUUUUGCUAUCAGUGUUUUUCAAACACACUUCUUUGGAUCCAGUUCCAUAGCUUAGGCCAAUGUCCUGUCUAUAUUCUUAACACGAUCAUUUAUCCCUUUUCUCUGUAUCUAUUUUAUUCACUUACAAAGACGUAACAAGCACCACACACUAAAGCUGGUGGCUACAUAGCAAAACAUAGCUCUCAUACCUUCUCCCCAUGGUGGAUACCUUUCCUACUGCAGUCAAACCCACUGUAAAUCUACUCACUGGAUUACUGACUGCCUGACAGUGUGCUCAGGGUGUGAACUGGGCUCAGAAAAGACAGGCUGGGAGAAGACAGCCACCUCCAAAGCAAUUUGUGCAGUAGACAGGCACUCUCCUUCAGUCUUUUUGAGACCUGAGACAAAACCGGUUCUGACCUUUGUCUCCCACAACAACUUUUUCAUCUUACAUAUGUAAAAUGAGGUGUCUCCUAAAAUCAUUGGUUGCAUGUGUCAGACACAGCUAGCAGCAUCAUCUCUGAUCUGCAGCUGUGCCUGUCCCCAGAGGAAACAGGCUGUUGCUGCCGUGCCACUACUGCCAGAGACCGAAGCAUACUGAAGGGCUCACCAGCAUGACUAGCAACAUUGCCUCACCCAUGAAUGAUUUAACGUGUGACAUUUCAAAAGUUUGGGCCUUCAAGGAAAGCAACUGUAGGUUAAAUGAAUGAUAAUGACAAUGCUCUGGAGAGCAGUCUUUCAGCAGCUACCAUUUCCACAAUGAUCUGACUCGCUUGGGGUGAAGAUGCCAGAAGUAGCACAUGGUCCACAAGUAUGCAAUACAUACCAUAGAUUACACAUUUUUCUUCUCCAAGCCUCAGCACCUUUUGACACAUAUUAACACCCUACAGGCUUAUUAGUGCAUCUACAAGCAAAUCAGAUAAAAACUUUAGCUCCCCUCUCACUUGAAAAGUAAAUACCAAGCUCAUCAAAUCAUUAAGCCAGUCUGAGGAUAGAUUUACUAUAAAUUAUCUGUCUGCAGGGAAGCUUCAAUUUGUACUCUUUGAAAUUUUCUAACUGAUGAAAAAAAAAAAAAAAAAGUAGUGCUAUUGAUACUAACUAAAUUCUGUCACUGGAGAUUGUACG
rnacentral:lncRNA from 1 species